rnacentral:rRNA from 1 species
UACGAAGGGGGCUAGCGUUGCUCGGAAUCACUGGGCGUAAAGCGCACGUAGGCGGAUUGUUAAGUCGGGGGUGAAAUCCUGGAGCUCAACUCAGAACUGCCUUCGAUACUGGCGAUCUCGAGUCCGGGAGAGGUGAGUGGAACUCCGAGUGUAGAGGUGAAAUUCGUAGAUAUUCGGAAGAACACCAGUGGCGAAGGCGGCUCACUGGCCCGGUACUGACGCUGAGGUGCGAAAGCGUGGGGAGCAAACAGG